rnacentral:rRNA from 1 species
AUUGAACGCUGGCGGCGUGCUUAACACAUGCAAGUCGAUCGGUAACAGGUGUAGCAAUACAUGCUGACGAGAGGCGGACGGGUGAGUAAUGCUUGGGAAUCUGCCUAUUAGUGGGGGACAACCCGGGGAAACUCGGGCUAAUACCGCAUGCGCUCUACGGAGGAGAGCCGGGGACCGCAAGGCCUGGCGCUAAUAGAUGAGCCCAAGUCGGAUUAGCAGUUGGUAGGGUAACGGCCUACCAAGGCGACAAUCCGUAGCUGGUCUGAGAGGACGACCAGCCACACCGGAACUGAGACACGGUCCGGACUCCUACGGGAGGCAGCAGUGGGGAAUAUUGGACAAUAGGGGGCAACCCUGAUCCAGCGACGCCGCGUGGGUGAAGAAGGCCUGCGGGGUUGUAAAGCCCCGUUCGGUGGGGAAGAAAAGUCUCGACCUAAUACGUCGGACCUUGACGUAACCC